GAUGAACGCUGGCGGCGUGCCUAAUACAUGCAAGUCGAGCGAACAGAUGAGAAGCUUGCUUCUCUGAUGUUAGCGGCGGACGGGUGAGUAACACGUGGGUAACCUACCUAUAAGACUGGGAUAACUCCGGGAAACCGGGGCUAAUACCGGAUAAUAUUUUGAACCGCAUGGUUCAAUAGUGAAAGACGGUUUCGGCUGUCACUUAUAGAUGGACCCGCGCCGUAUUAGCUAGUUGGUAAGGUAACGGCUUACCAAGGCGACGAUACGUAGCCGACCUGAGAGGGUGGACGGCCACACUGGAACUGAGACACGGGCCAGACUCCUACGGGAGGCAGCAGUAGGGAAUCUUCCGCAAUGGGCGAAAGCCUGACGGAGCAACGCCGCGUGAGUGAUGAAGGUCUUCGGAUCGUAAAACUCUGUUGUUAGGGAAGAACAAAUUUGUUAGUAACUGAACAAGUCUUGACGGUACCUAACCAGAAAGCCACGGCUAACUACGUGCCAGCCGCCGCCGUAA
rnacentral:rRNA from 1 species